CAACUAUAUUAUUUCGAUGAUUUAGAUAAUUCACAGUUACAAAACCCAGGGGCCAGGACCAAAUAAAAGAUAGUAGCCAUCUGAAUGAUACUACUCUGUCCACAAUUUAUAAGACAAAAAAAAGGAGACUGGUGAAAUUUACAAUAGAUUGAAUCAUGGCAAUAUCAAGACCUCUUCCUUUCCCACCAGCGUCGUUUGGGAGCACGAUGGCCAUUAGCAGGUUUAGGCAUACGAUGGAAGUCCACCAUUACGAUCCUUCUCUUGGCUUCCCUUUCCUCUGUUAACCUUUCCUCAUAUUUCCUCUUGCUUGAUUCAAAUUUCUUCAUAUAACUGAUGCUUUCCGUUUCUUUUUGAAUUGGUCCUGUGAUUGAACUACAAUUGUUCCGUUUCUGUGCUGAAUGAUCACAAAUCACUUGUUUUUGAUUAGGAGCAACUUGUACACGCUUAGUAGCCACGUUAUUCAUCUUCA
rnacentral:lncRNA from 1 species